rnacentral:piRNA from 1 species
UACAAGAUGUGUCUGCGUAUCUACCU